AGCUAACUUUGGGGACCAGGGAGGAGAGUCACGGCCGACCUGCAGUUCUGAACAGGAACCCCAACCAGACCCGGUUCACAUCCUCCCUUUCCUUCAGACUCUCCUCUCAACACAGCAAGAAAAACGACCUGGAAAAACUAGAGUCCACAGCUCAGAGGGAACACUGUCUACACAGGUGGACUCCAAUCAAGUGUAGAAACAUCUCAAGGAUGAUCAAUGGAAACAGGAUGCACAUGAGCUCAAUUUUGAGUCUCAUAGCAACGGGUCUGAAUACAUAUGUAAAUAAGUUCUCAGGGACCUGUAAGGGACACACCUAUAGCUCAAGCACAGGUGAAAAGAGAAGUCUCACCAUCAUAUUAUUUUGUACCAGCCAAUUGCCCUUCAGACGAAGAGGAAGUGACAUUGCUUCCUUUUAAAGAGGAAGAGGAUUCCAAGACAGCCAUGUUGUCCUCCACGCUGGUGUCGGUUCUCGCCCCACAGUGGAGUGGGAGAAUACGCAGGAACAAGCGGGGCAUGGCCGGUACAGACAUUGGUGUGUUUGGCAUGGCAACCAGUGAGUCUGGACAGGAGAUCCAAGGUAACGGACAGGAAGUGAGUGAGGGGGGUGUGCUUUUGAAGCCGCAAGUCCCUCUCGAGACAGACUCUGUAGGACAACGACAACAACAACAGUUUCUGGAAACCCAGAACCAACGUGUUGGGGAGAGGGGGUUGACCCUUGGAUCACAAGUCCAUGAGAGGGCUUCAACACUGGGUAGCAGCAGAAGCACAGUGGGGGGCUGGUAUGAGGGAAGCACCCCCAGCCUCAAACUGGACAACCCAACAAAGGCCCCAGUUUCUAAGCCUGUCUCUCUGGAUGUGAGUUGGGGGAGGCUGGCCAACAGAGGCGGAGGGGGGGGAGCUGUUUCCCCUGUUACUCCCAGCUCUCCCCUCUCUCCCGACCUGCAUGUACGCAAAGGAAUGUUACAGGCAAGUCGUCAAGGAGCCCAGACAUCAUUGCUGAGUUCCAAACCAACAACCAGUAGCCUUCUUUUCUCUCUGAGAAGGCUCAACACUAUUGCGAGCUCUAUCCACUCAGAGACAAAUAUCUCAUCUCUAACCAAUGACAGAGAUGGAGAGACUUCAAGUCCACACCUCUCUCCAACCACAACCAAUUACAAAGCAUCAGAGACAAUUAGGGCACAUCUUUCCUUAACCUCAUCCAAUGAUGGAGCCAGAGAGAGGUCCAAGUUCCUCCCCUAUUCAGCUGAUCCCACUUACAGGACAAUAGAGAGGUCAAGGCACCUCCCCUUACCAACUUCCAAUCACAGAGAAGCAAAUACACACAGGACACAACUAUUUUCAACCUCGCCCAAUUACAAAGACACAGAGGGCACACCCUUUACCAAACUUCCCCAGACUUCCAGGGCGUAUCCCAACCGAACCUCCCCCAGGAAGCAGACUCUUCUGUUUAGUGGUCUAGAGAGACUUUCCCCCUCAGAGAGACCAGAUGGAACCACGGUUCCCAUCAGUGAUACUCAUCUACCUUCCUCUCCACCGUCCCAAUAUGACCACCUGGAUUUUCAUGGGAGCCAGUCUCUUCCCAGAGGAACCACCCUGAGAUCUACUAGCUGGAGAAAGCACAUUACUCUGAAGGACAGUGUGUCUAAUCCCAGUUCCCCCCUCAGUCCCACUUCCACCACCACUAUCAACAACAACAACAACACAUUCAGCCUCUCAAGCACUUCCAGCAAUAAUAACACGGAUCCCUCUAGCACCAAUGAUAACACUGGUGUCAAUCCCCAAAUCACCAUCAAUAACAACAAUAAUUUAGUCACCCCCAACAAUACCAACCUAAACAGCAAUACUGUCACUGGCAAACACACACCUCAGAGCACCCUUAAAAGGACUUAUGCUCAAGAUAUCCCAGACCAGGAUUCCUAUAGAAUACUCAAAACUCAGAAUUCCCUUAACUCGAAUGACCGACAAUCACAAAAGCCCUAUUGUUUGUCCAAUAUCUCCUUCAGGUCUAACACCAGUAGCCCAGCUAGCUCGAGCACUUUGAGUAACCCAAUAAAGUCCAGCAAGCCUGAUCGCUACAGUAGGCCAUGUAGUUAUGACACCAUCUACACCCCUCUGACCGUAUUUAGCCCCAAGACUCCAACCAGCUCUGAAACCAGUGACACUCCAUCCUCCCUCAGUAGUCAUAGAACCCUUUAUUUGUCCCAUUCCCCGAACCCCUCUUCCAGACAGCUCUCCUUACAAACCAGUAUCGCCUCCACAUCACUCAGUAGACACAGACCCCUCUAUAGUUCCCGCUCACUCAAUACCGCCAGCUCUAUAAGACAAGACCCCCAAAACAGCCCAAAAUCUCCACCCCCAGUCGUCAGAAGCCAGAUUCCCAUAGUGAGUAACAUCCACACCCCCACAUCCCAACUGCAGUCCCCUAAAACUGCUUACACGCCUACCACAACUCCCCAACCACUCCUACUUAAAACCGGCUACGUCCCCAGUAUCCCGACCCGCUACACCCGACCGUUGUCUCCAGACAGCUAUACCCCCAUAUCCCUGAGUAUCCCCACCACCCA
ensembl:lncRNA